UUUGUGUCGGUGUCGUGCAGGCUUCGGUGCGUGGCCCAUCGCUGCCCUGCCACGCUCCCCGGCUCGGCCAGCACUGCCUGCACGGCGGUUUCACAUUCGCUGGCGUCUCAACCCCUCGUUACCCCUCACAUCACGCUGCUGCUACGUGGAUGUGUAGGUGCGCCACAUAAAAAUCAGCUGCGUAGCGCAAUGACUCGCGAGGAGGUGCACAGCAUCAUGUACAUGGUUGUACAUCGCUGCGAUGUAUGGUAUCGGGAUGAAUCACAGAGAUGCUCUUUACCAGUGAAUCAAAUCCAAUGAUCUCACAAACAUCAGAGGCUUUUACCCAAGGCAUGCUAUUUUGGCAAGGGGUAGGCUGGUUAAAAGUUAAAAUGGUGGAGCACAAGUGCACAUUUCUGGGCACAAAAUAAGACGUUAUUUAAGUGUUCCACAAUAGUUAACCAGAGUUCACCAAGACACUAAGCAGUCAGUGCAGAAAGUACACAAAGAGAAAGCCCAACAGCAUGUGUUGGCGGCCUCCCCUCUGCUCUCCUGGCAGGAGGAGAAGUGAUGGAGGGUGGCGAGCUCUGCCCCAGCCGGUACCACGCUGUGGUGCACUUUCUGUCUGACCUUAGAGUUCACACUUUGUGAGGGUCAGCUGGUGAGCCUGGAGGAGUCUCCAGCCACAAUCAGUGCAAGGUACCACAGCAUGAAAGCAUGAAUACCAAAUGCGAAUCACAUGAAACUCAUGCUCUGGAGGAGGAGAGGUGCUGCGUAGUCUCCUAAACGCUGUGACUAACAUGUUUAUCCUUCCUGUCUGAGGCAAUUGCCAAUUAGUCAAAUGACUUUAAAAUCCAUUUACAUGUUAAAUCACUCAAUUCAUAGGCAUUUGCUGAGGACAGCAGUGUGCUCACGUUCAGAGGCCUCUUGCCUGGGGUGUGUUGUCCACAUGGCUGUGUGUGCGCUGCAUCAGGAUGUAUCACGGCUGACUUUAGGCCCUGGCUGUAGAAAGAAAUAGAUUAUUCCGGUAGCGCGUAAGAUAAAACAUAAAUUGCGGGGGUGGUUAAUAUUUCCUGCUCCAAGAGUAGAAGUGCAGAGUCUGCGCCAAGAGCUGCUAACAUAUCACUGAUCAAAAUAUUUAAUUGCACUUGCUCUAUCACAGGACAAGGGAGCAAAUGAGCAGGAGCCUGUACAUACACUGCACUGCACGAGUAUUGGCAAACCCAAGUGGUGAACUAUCAUAAAACUUGUAUUUUAGUUACCAUAACAAGGUUUUGAGUAUUCAUUUUGGGGUUUGUAGUCCUUCUGCUCUCUGGUUAAUGAGUCUUCAGAUGCUUUCAAACUUUUUUCCAGUAUCAUGAGAGCUAAAGAAUUAGGUAGAAAAGAAAUCAGAGUCAUCGCAGUUUCUAAUGUUGAAACACUGAAAUUAAAGUGAGCCAGCAUGUGGCGGUACUGCUAUUUUCCCCCUGUUGUGUAGAAAAUUCAAACUCUGGAUUAGCUUUGGAGAACUUCAUCCUAACCUCAGGCUUCUUCAACAUAUGUAGAAUAGGCAGAAAAAGAAAAUACUUAAAAGCUAACUAAUGUUAUUGUAAAGCCACAACAACUGGGGCAGGAGAGGGGCAGCUCUAGCAACUCUUAACUGAAUUUUAGAGUUGGAAGAACUCCUAAGAAUUGUCUCUUUACAUCUCAUUGCCACACUGGGCAUGCAGUGACGUCUCUCUGCCUUUCAGCAUGGAAAAUACAGUUUCAUGCAUACAUCCAGGUGGUUUAAAUCAUGCCGGCUGCCAAAAGCAGCCGUCACAACCCUCCGCUGCCUGGCCAGUCCUGCUCCUGCUGGCACUGCGGUGCCCCUAGCCUUGUGCCAGCAGGGUUUUUGCACAGCCAUGUGGUGAAGUGGGCUGCGGAGAUCUCGGGGAAAAGAAAUUGCUUUCCCCAGCUCAGUGUCUGAAUUCGGGUCAUCAGGCAAUUGCACAAGGACUCAUGCCAGUGCACAGGGGGAGAGCAGCUGACAGGGGAGGGAGCACGGAAGUGCUUUUUUAGCAGUUGCGGAGGUUUAUGCCAGCUUAAACUGUACGUGAAACUUGAGACAGAUAAUUUGGAGGUGGACACCUGCUCUGUAUUUUUCAAUUCUCCUUCAAGACUGGCUCAGUACUUAGUACUGUGGAGAUGGGCUGCCAGCGUUCACCCCUGCUGUUGCACCCAAAACACAACCAGCAGCUCUUCUUCAUGACUGGAGGAGAACUUGUGUGGUGCUUGUACCCAAAAGAAGCUGCAUGUGGUCUUUCUGAUGGAGUUAGAGAGCUCCAGGACUGCUGUGAUAGAAAAUCAUAGGAGUCGCCUUUAGAUUUGUCCAUCUCCCUCCCGCUGCAAAUGGCACAGAGAUGGUUUACCCACAGACACCGAGCUGGCACCACACACACCCCCAUGCCCACGCAGCAAGGGCCACGAUUCCUGUUUGCCUCAGCAGCCCGGUCUUUGCUGUUCCUGUGGUUAUCAGCUGCUCUUGGGGCGUGAAGAAAGAUAGAGGCUGGAAUGACCAUCGUGGGUCUUGCAGUCCCACACAGCUGUCCACACUAUGGCAAGCUCCACCGAAGCAGCAGUGCCUUGAUUUCCCCCGUGAUGUUUUCCAGGUUGCGGUGAGCCUGGAGAGAGGCAGGCACAAUUCCACCAUGAAGGACCACCAGAGGAAGCUGUCAACACAGAAGUAGUCCCCCCAUCACUGGAGCCAUAAGCCACCAGGACCAGAAGACCAUGGUUGGAUUAUGUUCCUUUGGGAACUUGCAAGAGCUCCCAGAAGAAAUACUGCUGAAUUCAGAAGUAGUCUAUUUAAGCUGCAUGGUGUUUAAAAAUUGCUGGAAGAGGUUAAGGUACUGUAUAUUAUGCAGUUGACCUUACUAAGAAGCUACGUUAACAAUUUAGACUUAUAAUUUUCUGCCAUUACAUUUUGUUAAUUUU